rnacentral:rRNA from 1 species
AUGUAUGACGACCGUCGUGUGCUGUUUUCUUCUUCCUUCUGUUUUGCGUUCAACUGUUGUCUGAUAUUUGCUGGCAUCUCCAGGACGGAGCGGGAGGCAUCGACGGUCACAGGAUGCAAGGGGGAUAAGACCCCGGCCCUACUGCAGCUGGAACAGCUGCUGGCUCUUGGCCUCGAUCAGCGCACUGCGGAGACCGCUCUUGUCAACAGCAAGGUCACUGCCAAUCUUUCCGCCGUUAUAGCCGAGGCUGGUAUAACUUGGUGUGACAAGUCAGUAGGCAAUCUUUUGUAUGCAGUUGCCACCAAAUACCCAAGCAAUGCACUUGUCCAUCGUCCUAAUCUCAUCAACUAUAUUGUGUCCAUGAAGAUAAAGAACCCUGCACAGCUAGAUGCUGCUCUGUCAUUUCUUACUAAUGUUGGCCCUGAUUCUCUGGAUACUGGGAAGUUUGAAGAAGCCUGUGGUGUAGGUGUGAUUGUUUCGGUUGAAGAGAUUCAUUCAACUGUCGCGGAGGUUCUACAGGAAAAUAUGGGAGCUAUAUUGGUGCAGCGGUAUCACAUAAAUGUUGGUAGCCUAUGCGGACAGGUUAGGAAGAGACACCCCUGGGGUGAUGCUAAGGCGACAAAGGAGGAAAUCGAGAAGAGGCUUACAGAGAUACUAGGUCCAAAGACGGAAGUUGACAAUGUAAAACCAGUAAAAAAGAAGAAAGAAAAACCAGCGAAAGUUGAGGAGAAAAACGUUGCAGUAGCUAUUGCUGCCCCACCAUCAGAGGACCUGAAUCCAUACUCGGUAUUUCCUCUGCCGGCAGAAAACAACAAGGUUCAUACAGAAAUAUUCUUCAGCGAUGGAAACAUAUGGAGGGCGCAUAAUGCAAAAGAGAUUUUAGAGAAACAUGUUAUGGCAACUGGUGGAAAAGUGAUUACCCGUUUCCCUCCAGAACCUAAUGGAUAUCUUCAUAUCGGUCAUGCCAAGGCUAUGUUUAUUGAUUUUGGACUGGCUAAAGAGCGGAAUGGCAAUUGUUAUCUGAGGUUUGAUGACACAAACCCAGAAGCUGAAAAGAAGGAAUAUAUAGACCACAUCAAGGAGAUAGUCCAGUGGAUGGGUUGGGAGCCCUACAAAAUCACAUAUACAAGUGAUUAUUUUCAAGCUUUAUAUGAGCAUGCAGUUGAGUUAAUACGGAAAGGGUUAGCCUAUGUGGAUCACCAGACUGCACAACAAAUCAAGGAAUGCAGGAGAAACAAGGUGGAUAGUCCAUGGAGGGAUAGACCUAUUGAAGAGUCGCUUCAAUUAUUCGAAGACAUGCGACGUGGGUUGUUUGCCGAGGGCGCAGCAACUCUCCGAAUGAAGCAGGACAUGCAGAAUGAUAACAAAAACAUGUCUGACUUGAUUGCUUACCGAAUAAAAUUCACCCCUCAUCCACAUGCUGGUGACAAAUGGUGUAUCUAUCCAAGCUAUGAUUAUGCCCAUUGCAUGGUGGAUUCUUUUGAAAACAUUACUCACUCGCUCUGCACGCUUGAGUUUGACACACGUCGCCUGUCAUACUACUGGCUACUUGUUGCCUCAGGCUUGUACCAGCCAUAUGUUUGGGAGUAUUCAAGGCUGAACAUAUCAAAUACCGUUAUGUCUAAAAGAAAGUUGAAUCGCCUUGUGACAGAUAAGUGGGUAGAUGGUUGGGAUGAUCCGCGUUUGUUAACACUGGCAGGACUGCGGCGACGGGGAGUGACAGCAACUGCAAUCAAUUCAUUUAUCCGUGGAAUUGGGAUAACAAGAAGUGACAGUAGCUUGAUUCGUGUCGACCGUCUUGAAUAUCAUAUCAGAGAAGAACUUAAUAAAACAGCUUCUCGGGCCAUGGUUGUUAUGCAUCCUCUAAGGGUUGUAAUAACUAACUUAGAAGAUGGAAAAGUCAUAGAGCUUGAUGGAAAGAAGUGGCCUGAUGCUCCUGCUGAUGAAGCUUCGUCCUACUACAAGGUUCCUUUCUCAAGAACUGUCUACAUUGAACAAACUGAUUUUCGCCCUAAGGACUCGAAAGAUUACUAUGGGCUAGCUCCUGGUAAAUCUGUCCUGCUAAGGUAUGCAUUCCCUAUAAAAUGCACAGAGGUUAUUUAUGGUGAUACUCCAGAUGAUAUUGUUGAAAUUCGAGCUGAGUAUGACCCCUCAAAGACUUCUAAACCUAAGGGUGUUCUGCACUGGGUUUCCGAGCCAGCACCUGGAGUUGAGCCCUUGAAGGUCGAAAUAAGAUUGUUUGAGAAAUUAUUCUUAUCAGAGAAUCCUGCCGAAUUGAAAGAUUGGCUGGGUGACCUUAACCCGCACUCAAAAGAGGUUGUAAAGGGCGCAUAUGCUGUACCGUCGCUUGCAACCGCCGUUGUGGGUAAUAAGUUUCAGUUUGAGCGGCUCGGCUACUAUGCUGUGGACACCGACUCGAAGCCCGGGAAGCUCGUGUUUAACAGGACUGUUACUCUGCGUGACUCUUAUGGGAAAACUGGACCCAAGUGA